UAUUUUUAAAAUUACAUAAUUUUAUUAGAAUGUUGGAUAAUAUUCAUAUCAAUAAAUAUGAUUGCAUAUACGCGUAUAAAAAUAUAAGCCAAAAGAGUAACAUGCGGCUGUUAAAUCAACGCAAGUCUCUGAGCAUAAUUUUUAUUCAAUGCUCAGCUCUGUUCACUCGUCACUGUUAAAAUUUCUCCUUCCGAGCCGACUGUGGUGAAACACGCUCAUCGCAUUUUGUUAGGUUUUGACAAUUCAGACGCUGGUCCGUAGUUGGACCUUCUCUAUAUUUUACGUUCUCUGCUCAUAUAGUAAAUUUUUAACAAAAGUUCGCUAAUAGAACAUUCUGGCAACUACGAACUCGCUGUCUAGUUGCUUCUGGCAGUUUAUCGUCGAUUCUGAUUUGUUCUGGUAUUCGUGUUCGCCACAAUUUUGAAUCGAUUCUUUGUAAAACUUUUCCAUCUCUAGGACGAACGCAAGAAGGAUCUGUAUGUCGUUUAUGGUGAAAAGAUUUACUACCGAUCGAAAACACUAGUGUGUCGUGUAUGGCUAUUUUUAUCAUAUAGAAUAGUUCCCCGAAUAAAUAUCCUGAUAACCGUUGCUGGCAGUAAACUCUGCUUCUAGGACUUUACCUUUGACCCUACAACCCAUCUAGCGGUUAAGGGCUGAUUCACAUGGAACCUUCCUCGCUUUACUUGACAAUUAAUACAUUAACAACGAAGUGAAAAAGGAAAGGGCAGAAAGAUCGCUUUUCUUUAGGUCUGAUGCAAAGCGAAAAGCACAAAAAAAAGUAUUGCGCGCUUAUCACCCUAUAUGUGAAGAAUGCGUUCAACUCCGUCAAAUAGGCCAAUAUGUAUAAUGAAAGCUAUAUACGAAAUACGCGCUCUGCAAUAUCUUGCAGAUAUUAUAAAGAGCUAUUUCGAAAUGUUUUUCGACACAGACGAGUGCACUCAGAGCUUCUUUAUCUCGAGUGGAGUAUCGCAAGGCUCGGUCUUGGACUCUCUACUAUGGAACCUGAUUUACGACGGGUGCUAAGAAAACAGCAACCACGAAACAUGUAAACGAUCGCAUAUGCGGAUGACAGCAUGAAGUAUUUGGGAGUAAUAUUGGACUCCAAACUAAAAUUUAAAGAACACCUGGCGCAUACUUCCGAUAAAGUUAACAUAUUCCAUAAUGCUCUUUCGAGAAUGAUGGCUAAUGGUGGCUGCGUGCGUUCUAGCCGGCGAAUUUUAUCUUAGCUAGUUAUUUAAAGCUUUCUAAUUUUUGUAAAACAUUUUAUAACCACAACAAAUGACCAUAGGAUACUAUUACCAACGGCAAUGAAAACAAAUGUAACAAAAGGUUGACAAUAGAUGUUACCUGUGAAGAGGCCACGUAACACCUUAUUAUUAUAGGCACUAAUACGAUCAUUCUCGCUUCUUCCCUGCAAGGAGCCCAAAAUCCUAACUAUCUCCUAUAUGAAACCUAAAACGUAUCUUCAGCAACCAUUUUUGUAACCGUGCCUUGGCAAGAACAAAUACACUUUGCUGGCCACUUACAAGGCAAUCGGCUGACUGGUCAUAAACUACGCAGCAAUGGUCGACUGUGUGCAACAGACGCAGUUAAAGAACAUGCAAGCUUCUCAGCAUUCACUUCAUUGCACUCUGGACAAACUGGAUGUCUCUUUAUGUCUCCUAUUGAACAUCUGCACAGUAUGUUCCAGGUUAAGGAACACAAUGCACUUAUCUUCAAGCAGUUCUUCUGGGAUGCCCUCACAGAUAAUAUCAAGAGAAUUUUCGGACACGACAAACUUCAGAUAAAUACUGAAUGCCAUUUGCAGGGGAGCUAUCAACAUCUAUAUUGCGUCUUUUCCACAGAAUGGCGUCCUAGAAGUCGAAAAACAACCUACGGUAGAUCUUGUGCUCAAGUUUCUUCGUGAAAUCAAACUUGCGCUCCUUCGUUCUGGUUAUUGUAGUAGAUUAAACUUCUACCUAUCCAGAAAUGAUCAUGACAUACUAAACAUAUGCUCUGUAAAAAGCAUAAUACUAACCCCCUUUUUACAUGCCCCACCAUACUAAACAUACCCUCUGUAAAAAGCAUAUAAUACUAACCCCAUUUUUACAUGCCCCACCAAACUUACUCACCUUUCCCUAUGGUUCGACCACAAUUUCAAAAUUUUUUGGAAAAAUUCUUUUUGUUAAGAGUACAUUUGGGUGUAGAUUACCACAUACUAAAUACACAAACACUACCAAGAGAGCAAUGCGAUUUGGUGUGCCCAUACUCUUAGCAGUUAAUGCAUUGAAUCUGACAAUUUCAUUUAUGGAUUUUUUUAACGGUAAUUCAACGGUGGACGUGAUAUUUUAAAUUGUAUAUGAGAUGUGUUUAAUAUCAUUGAAGUCUACCGAAGACUCUAUGUCUAUGUGAAAACUAUUUGUGCUAGCUUAGACACAAUAGCAAUAGAGAUGUGCUCGUGUUCAAAUACUUCAAAUGUACCUAGCAACAAGCCAUGUGUACCACAUAAAUCUAUACAUAUACAAGCUACAUCUUGUCGCAAUCAACGCGCAGAAAUAAUGUAGUUUUGCUAUACGUCCAUUUUUAUACUUGAAGUGCACUAAUAAAGAACGCUCGCCAGUGUUGAGCACAAGUAUAUUUUACAAACCAUUCCAAAGUAGAAGAAAAAUUGGCUCUUAAGGUGGUGCUGCAAUAGAAAAUCAAGAAUUCAAAACAAAAUCCCUUGCAAAUUGCAGCACAAAAAAGGUCAUAGUCCUCCAAAUACAAAAAAGUACAUAAUUGUAUUUUGCCGUCGGCAUUUCACAUUCAUGCUACUUGUUACUUUUCUCAACCAAGGAAUUGCUGUAAAAAAUUGAAAGAAUUGCGUUUAGCCGUCGGCAUUUCACAUUCCUGCUUCAAUUUUUUUUUCAACUAGGGAAUUCUAUAUGCAAAAGUAAUUAUGUAUGUAAAUAUGUACUUCUUUGUUUCGUUUCGGCCCAUUUUACAAUUUUUAGAUCUUUUGAUAAUAGUUUUAUUUUACAAAUAUUUUAAAAAUUUAAAUUAAUUUAAUUAAUGUGUAUACAAACAUGUAUUUGAAUUUUUAAUAAAAUAUUUGUUGCUCAAAAGUCUAUUUUAUUUCAAUAUUAAUUUCAGUUAAUUUUCCUAGAGAAAUUUGACUAUCGUAGAAACAGAUAUGCAAAUGGACAUACAUACAUUGUACAAUAUAUUAUGACGUUUGCACAUUUGUCUGUUUAUUUCUGAAAGCAAAUGUUCUUCAAAAGCAUAUUUCUGCGGUCUUAAAAAAUUUUUUGAACAUCAUAUAUUUCUUAAAUGAAUAAUCAAACCAUAAUUAAGACAACACAAUUCAUCACCAACCGUGGUCUGAUUUGUAAACGCUUAAAGAGUCAUCGAUGAGUGCCCAGAUUCGAAUCGCAGCGGAAUUUAUUUUCCAUUUCUUGAUUUUUAUUUUUCAAAUAGAAUAAAUUGUAUAAUUAGAAUAUUUAAUAGUUUUGCAAUUUUUGUUCAGCUGCCGACACUGUUGCGUCAUUUCUUAUUAAAUUCAGAAAAAUACCAUUAUAAAUUUUUGCCAUCGUCGCGAAAAAUAGUUUGUAGGCAGCGACGCUUGUGCGGGAAGCAGAGUUGAAAGGCAUGUUUUUGCUGUUUUUGAUUCAUUCAUGUUUUUGAUUGUUUUGUAGAGACAUAAUCGUAUGAUUGUAUGUUUGUUUGUAUAUAUACAUAUUUAUGUUUGUGUGAUUGGGAUUGAACAAGGGACUCUCUGGCGAUCUGAUUUUACAAAUUUUUCAACACAAAAAAUAUUUCAUAAUUACACACAUGUGAAGUGGCAUUUUUAUUUUCCGUUCAAAGACUUUUAUGUUUCUUUUUAUGCAUGCAGACAGAUUCUCUGCAAGUUAAUAGUCGCUUUGUACAUAUUUCUGCCAGAGAGCAUUCUCAUCUCUGCUAAAUAGCGGCGAAUACCACAGAAAAUGGUGAGUUGCCUGCUCGGAAUUUUUCAGCUCUGUUAGCCGUCCAAUGGAACAUCAUACAAAAUUCAAUUUAUCCUCCUCGUUAAUUUAUAUUCUCUGGUAUAACUUUGUAAGCCGAAGUAAAAAUACCGGAGCUCUGUGUUUGCGUAACUAUUUUAUUAUUUCGGGAAUUCAAACAACUGUAUAGUAAGUUUAUUUAUAUAAUUGUUCUGUCUUUUAUAUAAAUAAACCGCCGGAGUAAUUUUGAAGAAAUAGUUGAGAAAUUGAUUCUAAUAUGAGUGAUUUAGAUUCAGAUCAUUUUUAUUUGCAAUCCAACCAAGUCGCCGAAUCAGAAAUUAAUGCAGAAAGUGACGAAAUCGAAUAUCCACACUAUGCUGAUGUUCAAUGUACCAGCUAUUUGUAUGGUUUUUUAAUGGUCUCUAUGGUCAAAUAGUCAGUACUUUACCCCUCACAGGCUUUCAAUUAAAUGUUUUUUUUUUCUCAUUUAAAAUCUUAGAUUAUUGUUCUGAGGUUAUUAUAUUUUUUAAUAUAUUUAUAUUACUUUUAAAAUAAGAAAAUUCUAUCUUUCGUUUAAAUGUUAUUACAAUAAAAAAUCAUUAAUUUUACAGCUUAGGCCAGAGCUAGCAACCCUAGACAAACAUAAAAAGCGCAUAACAUUUUUAUUUUCCAAUUGCUAUACAUACAUAUAUUUUUCAAAUUUAGUACAAUCACAUCAGCUUGCUCGGAAAGAGAAAUUUGAUUAGUGGCGCGUAAACAGAGCUAAGUAUUGAGUAAAAAUUAUGCUCAAAAAUAUAUAUUGCUAUCACAGACGUAUGUUAGACCUUUUGCUUAUAUUUUUAUACGUUUAUAUGCAAUCACAUGCAUUGAUAUAAAAUUCCUUAUGUGAAUAGCUAUGAAAGCAUGUUGAUAUAAUUGAUUACAUUUUAAUUAAAUUAUACUGAAUAUUUCAAAGGAAUAUAUGUAGUGAAUGUGAAAAUAAGACAUAUUUUUUAAAUAAAUAUUUCUUAUGUUUGAUAAUAUAAUAUAUACAGGCUAUGUGUAUACUAUAUACAUAAUAUUCUAUCAUAAUAUACUAAAAAAGUAAAUAUAUUGCACUAGUAAUUUAUAUUAAUAAUAUCUUUCAUCAUUUAAAACGUGUAAACGCUGUCACUCAUUCAAAUCACCAUAUUAUCACUUCUCGGCUCUAUAUGUACAUAUGUGAGUAUUUUUUUUUUUUUUUUGGCGAGAUGUGAAAAAAUUAUCGAAAGACACUGUUGCCCUUACAACAGUAGUGUGAGACUUUAAACCACUAAAAAAAUAAAAACAUCUCAAGAACA